rnacentral:rRNA from 1 species
GACGAACCGUGCGAACGUUGUUCGGAAUCACUGGGCAUAAAGGGCGCGUAGGCGGCUUGUCAAGUCAGGGGUGAAAUCCGGCAGCUUAACUGUCGAAGUGCCUUUGAUACUGACGAGCUCGAGGGAGGUAGGGGUCGCUGGAACUUCCGGUGGAGCGGUGAAAUGCGUUGAUAUCGGAAGGAACGCCGGUGGCGAAAGCGAGCGACUGGACCUCUUCUGACGCUGAGGCGCGAAGGCUAGGGGAGCAAACGGG